UACAGAGGUCUCAAGCGUUGUUCGGAUUCAUUGGGCGUAAAGGGCGCGUAGGCGGCGGGGUAAGUCGGGUGUGAAAUCUCAGGGCUCAACCCUGAAACUGCACUCGAUACUGCUCUGCUUGAGGACUGGAGAGGAGACUGGAAUUCACGGUGUAGCAGUGAAAUGCGUAGAUAUCGUGAGGAAGACCAGUGGCGAAGGCGGGUCUCUGGACAGUUCCUGACACUGAGACACGAAGGCCAGGGGAGCAAACGGG
rnacentral:rRNA from 1 species